rnacentral:rRNA from 1 species
GAUCAUGGCUCAGGACGAACGCUGGCGGCGUGCUUAACACAUGCAAGUCGAACGGAGCACCCUUGAUUGAGGUUUCGGCCAAAUGAUAGGAAUGCUUAGUGGCGGACUGGUGAGUAACGCGUGAGGAACCCGCCUUUCAGAGGGGGACAACAGUUGGAAACGACUGCUAAUACCGCAUGACGUGUGAUGGGGGCAUCCCUGACACACCAAAGAUUUUAUCGCUGAAAGAUGG